UUCCUGGUGGUCCAGCGGUUAGGACUCUGCACUACAAAUGCAGGGGGCCCGGGUUCAAUUCCUGGUUAGGGAA
rnacentral:tRNA from 1 species